rnacentral:antisense_RNA from 1 species
GGCGCUUGAGGCUUUUUGCCUCAUGCGAUCGGCAGAAAUGCGGAUGUGCGGUGAGGCAGAAAGAAGAAAGCCCCGAAGGUCAAUGUUUAUUAACCAACGAGGCCUACUCACGACGCCCAAACACCGUCAGAGUAGCCUCUUACCCGCCGCAAGGCAAGGAGAAGAAAGCGAU